GACGUAGGGCGCAAGCGUUGUCCGGAUUUAUUGGGCGUAAAGAGCUCGUAGGCGGCUUGUUGCGUCGGCUGUGAAAUCCCGUGGCUUAACUGCGGGCUUGCAGCCGAUACGGGCGGGCUGGAGUUCGGUAGGGGAGACUGGAAUUCCUGGUGUAGCGGUGAAAUGCGCAGAUAUCAGGAAGAACACCCGUGGCUAAGGCGGUUCUCUAGUACGGUACUGACGCUGAGACGCGAAAGCGUGGGGAGCGAACAGG
rnacentral:rRNA from 1 species